rnacentral:lncRNA from 1 species
AGGGACCCCCAGAUACAUUCUUCUCUAAGCUCAAAACUCUAUCCCAAAACUCUGCUAAAAUUUCAUUUGAGUGCUCCAUUUCUGUUGAGGUAGAGUACUGACUUGAGCGUUGGAGGAUCUUGUCGGAGCACCUCCAACUCUGGUUUAGACUUUCUUUGCAGGUCCCGACAGUGGACGUGAUCCCCUCGACUCCAACUUCUCCGACGUCGAUGGAUUUCUGC